UGCUGACAGCUGGUAGCGGCGGCAUCAAUUAAACAACAACAACGGUUGUUUCAUGACGUUCACGACCACAACUCUACGCUUCAUCACUGACAAUGAAAAGGUUAAAAAAAUGCUGUUUCUUGUUUCUAAAUGAUCAAACAGUAGUUAAAGUGUUAGAUCCGUGGGUUUGCCGUGACACCGAGCAGAGACCUGCAGUCCAGCGGUGCAGGCUGUCUCUCUGAAGCAGAGGAUGGCGGUCGUCUUAAUUUAUGUCAGUCUUCUCAGACAGCCCACAAACAUUGGAAGACUUUCUGAUCAGAGACUGGAGCGGUGGUCCGGAGAGAGGAGGAUGUGGAGCCGGAGCUCGUCUGGGGGGCGGAGCUCGGCAGCACCUGGUGUCGUUGUGUCCUGAGUCUGAAUCUGCUGUCAGGAGGCUGACCUGGACCAUACCAUGCUUGGUGAAGCAUGUGUUACAAAUGUUCGCACAUUUGGAGUACUGUGCCGGGAAGAGGACGUGCUGUCCCUGAAGGAUGUCCGAGCUGAAGGAUGUCCGAGCUGAAGGAUGUCCGAGCGGAGACACCGGAGCGUCCUGUCAACAGCAGAUAAACACUACUUCACCUAAGAGACUUGAGUAUCCAGUUCUUCAUUGACCUUCAGCAUUCAGUUGUUUGUCUUCACCUUUUCAGGUUUCCUGUGUCCAGCAUCUUCAAGACAGACUAAGCUAACUUUUCAUAUUUUUUGCACAUUUAUAUUUAGGUUAGGUUUAUAGU